rnacentral:misc_RNA from 1 species
GAAAUGCGAUAAGUAAUGUGAAUUGCAGAAUUCAGUGAAUCAUCGAAUCUUUGAACGCACCUUGCGCUCCUUGGUAUUCCUUGGAGCAUGCCUGUUUGAGUAUCAUGAAAUCUUCAAAGUAAAUCUUUUGUUAACUCAAUUGGUUUCUACUUUGGUAUUGGAGGUCUUUGCAGCUUCACACCUGCUCCUCUUUGUUCAUUAGCUGGAUCUCAGUGUUAUGCUUGGUUCUACUCGGCGUGAUAAGUUAUCUAUCACUGAGGACACUGUAAAAGGUGGCCAAGGUAAAUGCAGAUGAACCGCUUCUAAUAGUCCAUUGACUUGGACAAUACUUUUAUGAUCUGAUCUCAAAUCAGGUAGGACUACCCGCUGAACUUAAGC